rnacentral:rRNA from 1 species
CAGCAGCCGCGGUAAUACGUAGGCGGCAAGCGUUGUCCGGAAUUAUUGGGCGUAGAGGGCUCGCAGGCGGUUUCUUAAGUCUGAUGUGAAAGCCCCCGGCUCAACCGGGGAGGGUCAUUGGAAACUGGGAAACUUGAGUGCAGAAGAGGAGAGUGGAAUUCCACGUGUAGUGGUGAAAUGCGUAGAGAUGUGGAGGAACACCAGUGGCGAAGGCGACUCUCUGGUCUGUAACUGACGCUGAGGAGCGAAAGCGUGGGGAGCGAACAGGAUUAGAUACCCCCGUAGUCCCUGUCUCUUAUAU